GGCGACGUGGCCAAGCGGUAAGGCAGAGGCCUGCAAAGCCUUUAUCCCCGGUUCGAUUCCGGGCGUCGCCUCCA
rnacentral:tRNA from 2 species